GGCCCCAUGGUCAAGCGGUUAAGACGCCGCCCUCUCACGGCGGUAACAGGGGUUCGAAUCCCCUUGGGGUCA
rnacentral:tRNA from 1 species